rnacentral:tRNA from 1 species
GCGCCGGUGGUGUAAGGCGAACAUCGCUGCCCGGAAAGCAAAAGAUACGGGUUCGAGUCCCGCCUGACGCA